rnacentral:piRNA from 1 species
UAAUUACAAUUUUCAAUACAA